rnacentral:rRNA from 1 species
UUUAAUUCGAUGCAACGCGAAGAACCUUACCUGGUCUUGACAUAGUGAGAAUCCUGCAGAGAUGCGGGAGUGCCUUCGGGAAUUCACAUACAGGUGCUGCAUGGUGUCGUCAGCUCGUGUCGUGAGAUGUUGGGUUAAGUCCCGCAACGAGCGCAACCCUUUUCCUUAUUUGCCAGCGGGUUAAGCCGGGAACUUUAAGGAUACUGCCAGUGACAAACUGGAGGAAGGCGGGGACGACGUCAAGUCAUCAUGGCCCUUACGACCAGGGCUACACACGUGCUACAAUGGUAGGUACAGAGGGUUGCUACACAGCGAUGUGAUGCUAAUCUCAAAAAGCCUAUCGUAGUCCGGAUUGGAGUCUGCAACUCGACUCCAUGAAGUCGGAAUCGCUAGUAAUCGCAGAUCAGAAUGCUG